UAAGGAAUAUUGGUCAAUGGACGCAAGUCUGAACCAGCCAUGCCGCGUGAAGGAUUAAGGCCCUCUGGGUUGUAAACUUCUUUUAUAGGGGAAGAAAUGUGACGGUUCUCCGUCACUUGACGGCACCCUGGGAAUAAGCACCGGCUAACUCCGUGCCAGCAGCCGCGGUAAUACGGAGGGUGCAAGCGUUAUCCGGAUUCACUGGGUUUAAAGGGUGCGUAGGUGGGCAGAUAAGUCAGUGGUGAAAUCUUCCGGCUUAACCGGGAAACUGCCGUUGAUACUAUUUGUCUUGAAUAUUGCGUAGGUAAGCGGAAUAUGUCAUGUAGCGGUGAAAUGCUUAGAUAUGACAUAGAACACCAAUUGCGAAGGCAGCUUACUACACAAUCAUUGACACUGAGGCACGAAAGCGUGGGUAGCGAACA
rnacentral:rRNA from 1 species